GGGAUUGUGACUCAGCGAUAGAGCACUCGCCUUGCAUGUGCGACGCCCUGGGUUCGAUCCUCAGCCCCA
rnacentral:tRNA from 1 species